rnacentral:lncRNA from 1 species
CUUCUGCCACUUGGACAUCAUCUGGGUGAACACUCCUGACAGACAGCUCCUUACGGCCUGGGAAACCCGCCAAGACGCCGGCGCCGCUCCCUGCCAAGGCGCUGUCAGUGCUCCAGUGCCAGGGACCCCGCCUGUGCCACCUUCUGCCUUCGAAGGCCCUGACUGAAGCCGGGGCAGUCCCAAGCCGGAAGUCCCCUGCAGACGUGUUCCAGACUGGCAAGACAGGGGCCACUACAGGAGAGCUUCUCCAAAGGCUGAGGACAUUUCCACAGUCAAGAGCCUCUUUGCCAAGCGACAACAGGAGGC